AUACGGAAGGUCCGGGCGUUAUCCGGAUUUAUUGGGCUUAAAGGGAGCGCAGGCGGAGAUGCAAGCGUGACGUCAAAUUUCGGGGCUCAACCCCGUCUCGCGUCGCGAACUGCGUCCCUUGGUUGCGGGAAGGGGAGGCGGAAUUCCCAGUGUAGCGGUGAAAUGCGUAGAGAUUGGGAGGAACACCAGUGGCGAAGGCGACUUACUGGACUGUAACUGACGCUGAGGCGCGAAAGUGUGGGGAGCAAACAGGAUUAGAUACCCUGGUAGUCCACACUGUAAACGAUGAAUGCUAGGUGUAGGGGGUAUCGACCCCUUCUGUGCCGCAGUCAACACAAUAAGCAUUCCGCCUGGGGAGUACGGCCGCAAGGUUGAAACUCAAAUGAAUUGACGGGG
rnacentral:rRNA from 1 species